CGUUCAAUAGGCUAAAACUUCCUCGUAAUUUUGAAUUGGAAAUAUUGAGUGUUUCUCGUUUGACGUAGAAGCCUUAAAACAAUGAUGUAUUGUAGAUUCGUGCACAUGAACAAGAUUCAAAUUAUUAUUUUCAGUUAAAAUAGGACUAGUUUUCCUCUUGCAAUGAUCAAUGCACCCUGUUCUAACUCGAUUUCGUCGAUCCCUACGUCUUUGAUUUUCUUGUUGGUAAAUGAAGGCAUUGUAUGACUCUUUUGUACUUGGGGAAAUAGUUUUAGGAUUAAGAAAAUCAGGCUCUCUAUCAGCAGGCGCAUAUGAAACAUCUAUUGAGACUAUAAGAUGAAUCAUCAAAUAUUUAGACCCCAAACUAAGUCAUAUGAACUAAAAAUACCGAAAAAAAUCAUUUUCACAUAUGUUAGAUCAUAGAAACUUUAUAAUUGACAAAAUUGUCUACACAAAACAAUGAAAGAUAUGUUCAAUUAAUCAUAUCAUGUAAACAAUGUCACAAUUAACGUAACAAAAAUUGCACCUUCUAAGACGUACAACCCACGUACAUCAAAACUCCAGCAAAAAUCAAAUUGUUCAAAUAGAGUUUUAC
rnacentral:lncRNA from 1 species